UACGGAGGGUGCAAGCGUUGUCCGGAUUUAUUGGGUUUAAAGGGUGCGUAGGCGGCUUUUUAAGUCAGUGGUGAAAUCCUCCAGCUUAACUGGAAUCGUGCCAUUGAUACUGGAAAGCUUGAGUACAGGCGAGGUUGGCGGAAUUGAAGGUGUAGCGGUGAAAUGCAUAGAUAUCUUCAAGAACACCGAUUGCGAAGGCAGCUAACUAGACUGUAACUGACGCUGAGGCACGAAAGUGUGGGGAUCGAACAGG
rnacentral:rRNA from 1 species